AACGAACGCUGGCGGCAGGCCUAACACAUGCAAGUCGAACGAACCGUUUACGGUGAGUGGCGCACGGGUGAGUAACACGUGGGAAUAUACAUUUCGGUAAGGAAUAACGUAGAGAAAUUUACGCUAAUACCUUAUAAUGACUACGGCCCAAAGAUUUAUCGCCGAAGGAUUAGCCCGCGUUAGAUUAGGUAGUUGGUAGGGUAAUGGCCUACCAAGCCUACGAUCUAUAGCUGGUCUUAGAGGAUGAUCAGCCACACUGGAACUGAGACACGGUCCAGACUCCUACGGGAGGCAGCAGUGAGGAAUAUUGCGCAGUGGGGGAAACCCUGACGCAGCCAUGCCGCGUGAGUGACGAAGGCCUUAGGGUUGUAAAGCUCUUUCAGAUGUAAAGAUAAUGACGGUAACAUCAGAAGAAGCUCCGGCUAAAUUCGUGCCAGCCGCCGCGGUAA
rnacentral:rRNA from 1 species